UGCGGUCAUAUCACGUUGAAACACCGGUUCCCGUGCGAUCACCGAAGUUAAGCAAUGUCGAGCCUGGUCAGUACCUAGAUUGGUGGCCGCUUGGAAAUACCAAGUGCUAUA